rnacentral:rRNA from 1 species
GACGAACGCUGGCGGCGUGCUUAACACAUGCAAGUCGAACGGAAAGGCCCUGCUUUUGUGGGGUGCUCGAGUGGCGAACGGGUGAGUAACACGUGAGUAACCUGCCCUUGACUUUGGGAUAACUUCAGGAAACUGGGGCUAAUACCGGAUAGGAGCUCCUGCUGCAUGGUGGGGGUUGGAAAGUUUCGGCGGUUGGGGAUGGACUCGCGGCUUAUCAGCUUGUUGGUGGGGUAGUGGCUUACCAAGGCUUUGACGGGUAGCCGGCCUGAGAGGGUGACCGGCCACAUUGGGACUGAGAUACGGCCCAGACUCCUACGGGAGGCAGCAGUGGGGAAUAUUGCACAAUGGGCGGAAGCCUGAUGCAGCAACGCCGCGUGCGGGAUGACGGCCUUCGGGUUGUAAACCGCUUUCGCCUGUGACGAAGCGUGAGUGACGGUAAUGGGUAAAGAAGCACCGGCUAACUACGUGCCAGCAGCCGCGGUGAUACGUAGGGUGCGAGCGUUGUCCGGAUUUAUCGGGCGUAAAGGGCUCGUAGGUGGUUGAUCGCGUCGGAAGUGUAAUCUUGGGGCUUAACCCUGAGCGUGCUUUCGAUACGGGUUGACUUGAGGAAGGUAGGGGAGAAUGGAAUUCCUGGUGGAGCGGUGGAAUGCGCAGAUAUCAGGAGGAACACCAGUGGCGAAGGCGGUUCUCUGGGCCUUUCCUGACGCUGAGGAGCGAAAGCGUGGGGAGCGAACAGGCUUAGAUACCCUGGUAGUCCACGCUGUAAACGGUGGGUACUAGGUGUGGGGUCCACUCCACGGGUUCCGUGCCGUAGCUAACGUUUUAAGUACCCCGCCUGGGGAGUACGGCCGCAAGGCUAAAACUCAAAGGAAUUGACGGGGCCCCGCACAAGCGGCGGAGCAUGCGGAUUAAUUCGAUGCAACGCGUAGAACCUUACCUGGGUUUGACAUGGAUCGGGAGUGCUCAGAGAUGGGUGUGCCUCUUUUGGGGUCGGUUCACAGGUGGUGCAUGGCUGUCGUCAGCUCGUGUCGUGAGAUGUUGGGUUAAGUCCCGCAGCGAGCGCAACCCUUGUUCACUGUUGCCAGCACGUUAUGGUGGGGACUCAGUGGAGACCGCCGGGGUCAACUCGGAGGAAGGUGGGGAUGACGUCAAGUCAUCAUGCCCCUUAUGUCCAGGGCUUCACGCAUGCUACAAUGGCUGGUACAGAGAGUGGCGAGCCUGUGAGGGUGAGCGAAUCUCGGAAAGCCGGUCUCAGUUCGGAUUGGGGUCUGCAACUCGACCUCAUGAAGUCGGAGUCGCUAGUAAUCGCAGAUCAGCAACGCUGCGGUGAAUACGUUCCCGGG